rnacentral:SRP_RNA from 1 species
UGUCGGUCCCCCCGCAAUGAUUAGCCGUCAACCUGGUCAGGCCCGGAAGGGAGCAGCCAUAGCGGUGACAUCGUGUGCCGGGGUGUGGCUGGCGGGG